ACACACAGAUGCAAGGUCUCCUGAUGGCAGAAAACCUUAUAAGCAGAGACGGGGUUACUCCGUGUUAGCCAGGAUGGUCUCGAUCUCCUGACCUCGUGAUCCACCUGCCUUGGCCUCCCAAAGUGCUGGGAUUCUGUAAUCCCAGUGAGCCACCGCGCCUGGCCCAGAAUCAACCUCAGCUGCCAACGCCAGAAUCAACCUCAGCUGCCAAAUGCUAGACUGAAAAAAGAAUGUAAACAGCUUGAUGGAGGGGAGGAUCCUGGUGCACCUGUGGUUUUGACAGCUUUUGCUGCUGCUUGAGGAGGAAACAGGUUGCCUGUUUGUUCUUCAAGAGCACUUCUGGCAUCCAGGUAUUAUGCAGGCAUGCACUGCCAGCUGUGAAAGAUGCCGCUUCCUUGUCACUUCAGAGAAUGAUGCUUCUACAGAAGAUCCCUCUUGCUAUUUCAUUCAGGGAGCUCGGGAGAGGAAGACAAAAAGAAUCAAAUGCAAAGCACAGAUCAUUGAAAGGGCCAGGGUCUGAAGUGAGACAACUCGUGUCACAGUGUUUUCAAACUUGAGAAUGAAGAGAAGAAAGGAAAUUUGGUUUGAUGUUAUCAGUUUUGAUUUGCUAACCCAAAAGGUCCAGAAUAAAGAACAAAUCAUUAUAAGCAGAUGCUUCAGGUGACUACAGCCAGCUCCAGAGGUUCCAAAGAUCUUAAAGAUGUCCCAGAAAAGUUCUAGAGUACUAUCAGAUCUCACACUUUGCCUUGGAAGCUGUCAUUCCCCUCCAUUGGCCCCACAACUGCAGUAUAAUCUUCAGUGACAGGAGAAAAUCGACCUUGUUUGUACAGAAGUCUCAGCAGGAAUAGGCAGAUGCCUGUUUUUGCUGCCAAGGAUGGAGGAUUGGAAUGGGCCCAUUAUAUAUUUUGAGGCUUUGAAGAAAAGUCUCAGGAUAUGUUUUCCCAUUAAAAUACUGUUAUAAACAAUUAG
rnacentral:lncRNA from 1 species